GCCGGGCACGGUGGCUCAUGCCUGUAAUCCCAGCACUUUGGGAGGCCGAGGCAGGAGGAUUACCUGAGGUCAGGAGUUCGAGACCAGCCUGGCCAGCAUGGUGAAAUCCCGUCUCUACUAAAAAUACAAAAAUUAGCUGGGCUUUGUGGUGGGUGCCUGAAAUCCCAGCUACUCCAGAGGCUGAGGCAGGAGAAUCAGUUGAACCCAGGAGGUGAGGUUGCAAUGAGCUCAGAUUGCACCAAGGCGCUCCAGCCUGGGCGACAGAGUGAGACCCUGUCUCA
ensembl:misc_RNA Metazoa_SRP Metazoan signal recognition particle RNA